rnacentral:rRNA from 1 species
CUGGCGGCGCACAUAAGACAUGCAAGUCGAACGGAAGUCGUUAAAAAUGGAUGACGAUUAUCAGAUUGAAAUUUUAACAAUGGCUUAGUGGCGGACUGGUGAGUAACACGUAAGCAACCUGCCUAUUAGAGGGGAAUAACAGUGAGAAAUCAUUGCUAAUACCGCAUAAGCUGAUAGUAUCGCAUGAUAUAGUCAGAAAAGGAGUAAUCCGCUAAUAGAUGGGCUUGCGGCUGAUUAGCUAGUUGGUGGGGCAACGGCCUACCAAGGCGACGAUCAGUAGCCGAGUUGAGAGACUCUACGGCCACAUUGGGACUGAGAUACGGCCCAGACUCCUACGGGAGGCAGCAGUCGGGAAUAUUGCGCAAUGGAGGAAACUCUGACGCAGUGACGCCGCGUAUAGGAUGAAGGUUUUCGGAUUGUAAACUAUUGUCGUUAGGGAAGAAAUUUGACAGUACCUAAGGAGGAAGCUCCGGCUAACUAUGUGCCAGCCGCAGC